GCUACUGCGGAGCGUGGGCUCGGCCCUAGCGGGAGCCAAGCACCGGCCGCAGCUCUCUGUGGGCUGCAAUUCUAGGAAACAGCCGGAAGCGCCCUGCUGGUUGCUGCUGCUUUUGCUCUUCCGUCCUUCAGGCUCUUCACGAGCAUCCCUCCCUGCGCUCCAGUUCCCGGCCGCGGCGGAUGGAAGAUAACCCGUGGAGAUUCAGCCCAUGGAGACAAGACAGUGCCAAAAAAAGAGGAAGAGACACCUGAUCUGCAGCAUGACGAGAACUGGACAUUUUGGGGGCCUCUCAGUGCAUAGAUCUGUAAUAGAACAGUGAUACAAGGAAGACUGGGCACAUUAUCAUCAUCUGUAUGGCAUACAUGGGAUGGACUGCUUCAGCAUCAGCAAACCCCUUCUCAUCAUUUUCAUGGCAGCAGAAAUUUCUUCAGAGAAAAGGAAUUCACAGGUACCUCACUGUAAAUCCACUCUUUGCCAGUUCAGAACGUACCUGUAAUGUCUUCCCCUAAAAGACAAUUCAAACAUUUUGAGGGGAAAAAAUGGAAAAAAUAUAUAUAUACACUCAUUUUCACUCCUUUAAUCUCUCUGUUGUAGUGUUAGCACCUAAUAUAUGCAUCCACUCUUCUACUGUCAUCCUAUUUACAAUCCACUGAAAUGUAUACUCUAAAAAUACAAUACAGUUUCAGAAAUGUAAGGGGAAAUGCACAAUUUUCUAAGGUUUAAAAAAGUGACAGCGAUCUGUACAGGAUCAUCAAAUUUAUCAUCCAAGAAGUAAAAUUUACAAGGCAGUAUCCAUCCACACAGCUACAUAAAGGGGUAGGUGCUACACUCACAGCAGCAGACUUGCUAAUACAAGAAAAUAUGGAAUAUGAAAGUGUUUUGGGGCACGGGAAAAUACAUUUAGUACCACUGAAGCUAAAAAUUUAGGAUUAGCCGUAUUCUAAAAACAUGUAACUGCAAACCUGGAAAACGUUCUGAAAAUAUUAAGCAUUAUAUACACGAGGUAAAUGUACCUUGGCCUUUUAAGAGGUAAUUAGAGUUUAAAGCAACUGAUAGUGAUUUUUUUUUUUAUAAACAUGAAAUGAUUAACGCCAUACAAUUGUUUCAAUGGAACAGUAUAAACAAGGAACUAACUAAAAGCUGGAAUUCAUGACAAUCACACGCAGAACCAUGACUGAAAAUAUAAUAUAGCCUCUUAUUUGUUUGACACCUUCAUGUUCCCAUACAGUCAAUGUUUUUAUAUACAAAGUCUUUCUCAGGAUUACAAGUGAGACCACAGGAGGGUGACAGCAGAUCAUCACGCCUGGAAAAUCAGCUUGAUAAACAUCUCAGAAUUCCAGCUUUCAACAUUAGAAGGUCCCUGAAGAACUCCAGCAUUCCAAAAGCAUUAUUUUGGGCUUUUCAGCAUCAGAAAAUUCUCCCCACUCUUUAUUCUACAUGUCAGUAUGCAUCCAACUGAUCGCCGAGGCUUCCAAUGCUACUAAAAUAUCAAAUUGAUUGAAUCCAUAAAACUUAAGUGAACAUAUAAGGUACGUAUAUUUACAAUAAACAUUUGCAUCAGUAUUCAAACUGUUUUGGUAUAUACUUGAAAUGAUAUAAAAUUAGUAUUUUGAAUGCUAAAAUAUUUUGGUCCCCCUGGAUUUCCAAGAGCAGAUCCGGUGAUAAUAAAAUCUUAAUUUAAAAAAUACUUAUGUGUACCUGUGUCCAUACAUAUAAGAUAUGAUCUUGCACAGGUAACACUUAAAGUUACAUAAUAUAUACAGACACAGCCUUUGUAAAAGGUGUUCAGUUUUUAUAAUGUAAAAGAACACAGCAUGAAGUCGUGGUAUCCGAACUGAGGAUACAUACAUAUCCAUUCAGAAUUUUCCUGUACUGCAUUCCAAUAUGAACAACAUAGUUGUUCUAAAAUAAUAUUUGUAAUGUCACACAGUAUUGACUGUCCUUCCCAUGGCAUGAUGUUUCUAAAUUAUGAACUAUACUAUUUGUAUCUAUGAUAAGGAAUCAGGUAAAGCUAUGACAAAUGUCAAAAUUUAACAUUAUUUAGAUAGUAAGUCUUUAAAAUUAGUAUGGAGCAAAUAGUAAGUCUUCCUCUGAUGCUGACUUGUUUUCUGUAAGUAUUUUUCUGCACCUACAGGAUGCGUUAAAGGGGCAUGUCAAAUAAGUAGAAUGAAGAGUCUGGUUACAUUUGGUCAUUUGCAUAAAGGUAGUUUAAAAUCCCUACGUGAAGUCAUUUUGAUUUAACUCUGACUGAUAGCGUCCUGAAAGCAGCGUGCCAAAAAGAAACACAACACACAGGUGGGACAGUUGUACGAACAUUGCAACCCAACUGUUUUCUACUGAGAACUUCUCUGUCAUUGUGUCCUGUUCUCUAAACUCAUCCACUGUGGUGGCUGAAGAAAGAAUUGCGUGACACGCAGCUCAAACUCUGCCAGUCUGUAAUUCCACAUCAUUUAAACCCAUCUCCAAGCAAGCAUUAAGAGUUUGGCACUGCUCAAGACUUACCUAACGCUAAGCCUUGGCCAAGACUUUUGCCACAUACACAGCCUUUUCACUAGGCUCUCUGCCCAUCUUACUGCUGUUACCAAUUGUGCAUCACAGACGAAGGGGCACAAUCUCAGCUAUGCUACCAUUAGCAAAUCACCUUGCCAUCCCUACUAGCUCUAUGAAAAGCCUUCCAGGAGCUAUAUGCUGAAAAACAAAAAGAAAGCAGAAUUAAGGUUGCUGUGUGUUGCUCGCCAAGAAUACUCCUGGAGAGUGAAAGGUUAAUUGUUAGUUUAUAUACUAAUUACCAGCCAAAGAUCAACCACACUCUUCCUACCACUGCAAGUAAAACAUAUCCUGGCAAGAACAAUUUUAAAAAGUUUCCCUACCCUCAUUCAGAAGUUGGGCAGGAAGGAAUUCAAUUUCUAAACAAGUCUGCGAAGAUACUGUGAUGUCCCUACAAUCUCAGGCAAAGUCUGACUAAAGCCAGGCAUGCUUUUCUGUAUCCUUACGACAACACAAACCAUCAUAAGCUUUGUUCUUCUGAAGAACAUUGAUGGAGUCUUCUGGUAUUUGUAUCUAAAGACCUUCAGCUCACUGGUUUCUAUAGCUCAUCCCUUUCUUCGUAUGUGGCACAAAGAAAAUAUGCACAUAAGAUUUACAGGCAGCUUCUAUCUUUCUUGUACAAAAGCCUAAAUAAGUCUCCCUAGUUACAAGUACACUUCACGCUCAUUUAAUUGCAACUAUUAGCUUUUAAGCCUAAAGACUCCACAGAACUGCACAGAAUAUAUGCUUCCGUUAUUUAAUUUGAAGGGGGAAAAUCUUCCUUGAGAUCAUCUUAAUUUUCACGCUAUUUUUCUGAAGUAGGUUGGUCUUCAAGAUUUCAGAACUACCACAUAAAAUAAAGCUUAAAUUACGACUCAUGACUUGGCAAUUACAAAGUGUGACAAUGAAUUAACCAGUUUACAUGUUUUGAGACUCAUACAAUAGUUUAAAGAGUUAGAUUUUGGUAAAAUUCAAGGUCUUCCACAAACUACACACUCACUUGCUGAAAUGAGUGCGAGUUAAAUCUUACCUAGGGAAAGGAACAGUUCAUUCUUGGAAAUCAAAAGUACCAUGGGCUCUGUACACUUGCUGGUAUGCAUGAAAAGACUCAAAAGCAGCACUUACUGAUAUAAUACAAUCUAUUUUAAAGGCAAUGUAGUGUUCUGAAAAUAUGGAAAAAAAAAAACCAGUAAUCAUGUAGAUAGUUGCAUAAUUUAUGUUCCCCACUACUGAAUGAGGUCAAUUUGCAAAUUAAGCAUUCCAAAGACAUACAACCUUAAUGGGCAGCAAAGCAUACUCCAACAGUACAUUCAAAAUCUGAAUCAAAGAACUAUAACAGUGGUUCAGAAUACUCAAUGUACCAGGCAGGAAUAACGUCGCUGAAGCAGCCUUCAAUGCACUCUAGAACAAUACAGUGAACCGUUGCCAUUUUAAAAGCGAUCUUGUUUUCAGUACAGUUUACUAGAAGUUAAGACCAGCUAUGAACUUUCCAAAUAAAAAAAUCAUAGGUCAAUAAAAGCAAAACUAGUCUACACGAUGUUUUGUAAGUAACCUCAGAACAAGGUUCAUAGUGCACAGAAAGGACCCAAAGCAACUGCUCAGCACAUCCACAGAAAUCCUAACAAGUGACGUUCCUAUGCAGUAUUAAAAGGCAGCAAUAUCCUUCUGUUCCCCCAGUGAGGUAGAACAAUUAACCUUCUUAACACGCCACUCUGGUGCAGGUAUGGAUUUUUACAGUUUUUUUUGUGUUUGUUUUUGGUAGCAAAUCCAGGAUCACAUCUUUAUCCCCUCCUGUUGACUAAGCUGUGAUAGUGUUUUCUUAAUACGCAACGCUGUUAGCCUAGCAGCUCCGUUGGCAUACCAGCAUUCCCGCAUGAUCUUUGCCAUUACUCGUAACGCCUGCAAAAGAAACAAAUUAUUACAUGCAUUUCUGUUCCCAUGAAACCUCUGUACUGCCUUAGCCUCUUAUAGUACAUAUUUCUGGAGUCUAUUACUAGAACUACAUUGGCAUGUUGUAUAAGAACACUCAAAUCUUGAAGAUUUUUUUUCCUGUAAGUAAGAGAUCUGGUAUUAUUCAGCAUGUGCAAAAAUACUGUAACAAAAUUUAAUAGCUUGUUUAACUAUUUUCUAACCUGAAGUACUGAAUUAGAAAAAAACAUACUAAUUGUGCUUUAAAUCCAGGUAAAAAGCAAUAGUAAAGAACCAGAAGGCACUCAAUAUUAGCAUGGAAGUGCUCUGUAGCUGAGCAUGUACCCAAACACUUUCUCAAUCAUUAAAUGCUUUUCAAAGAGUUAGUUAAAUAUACAGCAAUUCAGUACUUUUUUUUAAAAUCAGGUACUUCCAUUGAAUUUGAACUUUAUAACAUUCAGAAAACUUGGAGCCUUUUUAUCCCUCAAAAACCUAUUUUUUGAAAUUUGUAAAUGCUACUAUCAAGUCACAAUGGAAAGAACAAAAAUUGAUGAAAUAAAGGAUAGAUACACAGAUUUUACACUCAGAGCUAUAUGACAAGAAAUUGCUUAGUUGAUUUGCAAGAUUUGAAUGGAAGCAUUAAAAGCAGUAGGUGUGUACUGCCUUUCUCUCCAAGCUGCACUGUGUUGCCAAAUCUUUUUUCUCAGGCCUUCAUGUGUGUAUUAACUUCACACAUUCCACAACCCAGUUACCUCUUCCAUCUAAUGGACAUCACAUCAACCUACUCCUGUUCUAGCUUCCUGCAGCUAUUCUCCUAUGCUCUGGCAAGCAGUAGCUACCAGCGUAACAAACUCGUUCCAGAGUCAGUCUAAAUUCUGCAAGAUAUGCCUCUGUCAAACGAGAGGGAAAAGGCACCUGACUUAGUUCCAGGCUGGCUUCACAUCAGGCAGGACAGCACUGUUGAAGACGAGCAGUACUGUUGUCCUGGCAGAAUGCUGAGUUGAAACUACGCCUGCUUUUUAAAAAAUGUACUAGCCAGCCUAGGUAUAAACCAACUGGCACAGACCUAAUGAGAAGCUGUACAUUUUUCCUGAUUAAAACAAACAAAAAAAGCUUUUACUGCCUCAGCUGUGUGUUAAUCCUGACAAGAAACUGACUCCCAAUCCACAGAGCUGCCUGUUCACUCACCAUGGAGUGGAGAAAGAAAAUCAAAAGGGUAAAAGCAGGAAAACAUGA